rnacentral:rRNA from 1 species
AGGGUUCGAUUCUGGCUCAGGAUGAACGCUGGCGGCGUGCUUAACACAUGCAAGUCGAACGAAGCUCUUGAUCGGAGGAUUCGUCCAAAGUGAUGAGAUGACUUAGUGGCGGACGGGUGAGUAACGCGUGGGUAACCUGCCGUAUGCAGGGGGACAACAGUUGGAAACGACUGCUAAUACCGCAUAAGCGCACGGGAUUGCAUGAUCCAGUGUGAAAAGAUUUAUCGGCAUACGAUGGACCCGCGUCUGAUUAGCUAGUUGGUGAGGUAACGGCCCACCAAGGCGACGAUCAGUAGCCGGCCUGAGAGGGUGAACGGCCACAUUGGGACUGAGACACGGCCCAAACUCCUACGGGAGGCAGCAGUGGGGAAUAUUGCACAAUGGGGGAAACCCUGAUGCAGCGACGCCGCGUGAGUGAAGAAGUAUUUCGGUAUGUAAAGCUCUAUCAGCAGGGAAGAAAAUGACGGUACCUGACUAAGAAGCCCCGGCUAACUACGUGCCAGCCGCAGC